AACAUAGCAGAGUUCUUGUUUUAUUGAUGCUGCAGGGAAAAUGGAUGCAAAUGUGAUAUCAAAGCAUCAGUAAGCAUGGACAGAGCAGAGGGGAGGAGAAGGCUGUUAGCCAAAGAGCCCCCGAAAGUCAAUCUAAGUACCAUAGUAAAGCUUUGCUUAUCAGUGUCUUCUAUUCCACCUAUGUGAGUGGCAGAAUUGCAAGUAGAGCAAAUAGGGAGAGAAAGUAUCUAUUUGCCAAGUUCCUCCUUUGUCUUUUUAGGAUUGUUUUCCUCAAUAUAUUUUCUAUUAACUGUUCUAAGUCCCAUGGGAACAAGUCCUUCCACCAAAACGUUUGUUCUGCUUAUGGCUCUCAAACAAGAUUCACAAGGAUGAUAAGUCUCCAACCACUUAUCCCAGCUAAACUGUACUUUAAGCAGUUUUAUUGCAAUUGUUUCCUGCCUCUCUACCCUGUCCUACUUUAUGCAGAAUUUCAAACCACAUUUUUCUAUGAGAGUCUCAAAGAAUCCUUUAUCAAAAUUUGUUAACACUCACCAUGUUUGGACUUGUGUAUUUCUUUCUAUAAAAUGUCUCCCUUGUUGCACAAACUUCUUAAAUAUUUUGAAAUGCUUUGUAAGUUGUUGAGGAUGUAUUUAAAAGAACAUUUUGCCAUGCCUAAUUUCUCACCAUAAAUAUAACAUCAUUGCAUUCUGGAAAAAAAAAUCACUUGAUUUUACACACAGCGAAUUAGUGUUAUGAAGUCAAUGGCUGAAAUCUGUCUGUCAGUGCUAAAGUGUAAGUACUAAUGUUUGCAGUAACAAAGACUGUAAUAAAAGUUCAUAUUCUGAGGGCCACACUCUCUUUGUAAGUGCUGCUGUGUGGAGCUAUAAACUUAGCUUGAGGUUCCCAGGUAAAAGCUAUUCUUCUGUGUACACAGAAUUACAUACAGAAAGCACUACAUGGAGAUUAAAACAUCUUCCUUAAAGGGUUAGUUGGCAGCUCUGCUUUACUGAAGUCCUGGAAUGCUUUCAAGGGAGGAAAGAAAGUCCAUUAAGAAAAAAAAACAAUCAUGAUAUGCUCUAUUUUUUAACAAAAUAAAUGCAGGCAUGAACCUGUGCAAAGUUCAGACACAAACUUGUUAACAUAAAUUCUUAUUAACAGUAAUCAUAUGGCAAGAAAUGAUUCAUCAGAUCAUUUUAAUUGGCAGACGUCUAUGCCACCCACAUAAAAGGUAACUCUACUACAGCUGUUCUGCUCUCUGUUUGCUCUGUAUCUGCUUGUUGAGCCAGAAGCCAUUAUGGUAUUAAUUUGACUAGCUCACAUCCAUAUGCCUCAUAUCUCCCCAUAGCUGUAGGAAUAGUUACAGCGUAGAAGGUGUUUCCAGGGCAUGAAAUCACACAGGAUUUUUUUAAAGGACUCUAGUAUAAGUUUCUGAUAACAUGUCUGAACCCAUGUUAAACAUGUUGAGUGCUAAUGGAAAAAGAGAGUGUUUCAGGUAGUGAGGGUUUUGAAACUAUGAUUCACUUCUGAAGAAUCAAACUGAAACCACGGCAUCUCUGAGAGAAGAGAUGGCUAAAAAUGGACUUGUCAAAUUUUAACUCUGGGGAAGAGAAUCGUUAAUAGGGUUAAAGGUGUUUUAUGAAGUGCUUAUGACAAGGUUGAUACUGGGAGCUAACAGAAAAGAUGACAGUUGUACAAAGGGGAUUAUAAAUAUUGUGCUGUUUUUCAUUGGUUUUGAUGCUGUCAAAAAGCAUUUGUUGUGACAGCACAUGCAGGUAAAUCAGCUGCAGAACAGUCAUGUACUCCAGGACUCAUGGAGAAUUGUGGGCGCUGUUGCUUGAGUCAGGACACCCCAGAAACACUCUGGGUGGUUCAUGGUCAGAAGAACGUUCUCCGAGUCGUGGAAAUGCGAAUUGCAAUUCAGCACAGAGGAAUUCAAAGCACACACAUGCAGAUAUCCAGGUAAUGCUUUGGGAAGCUGGUGCCAAACUUGUCUAAUAGAAGUUCAUGAGCAAAGCUACUUUGCAAUUCAGCAAAGUAUAAAUUUUACCAUUGAAAAUAUGCUAGAAAACGUCACUGGGGAACUUCUGGGGACAUGUCAGCACCUUCAGUACAUCCCAGCAUGGCACUUAAGUAUCAUUUUUCUCACAUAGCAGAGAGGGAAAUGGUAAUGAAACACUUGAAAAGGCAUUUUAGGUAGGAGAGAGAGCAUCAGAACCAAAGAGCAAGCCUUAACAAGAUGGGUCCCCACAUCACUGGGCAUCCUGCACUAGAAAGAAAGUCAAUAGCAACUGUAUAUUGACAGCUACCAUGCUCUCUGGACACAGCACUACAAAUACAGAACCGCCUGAUUAAGCUUUCAUUCUGUUGGUAAAUGUACUCAAUGAGGAGUAUAAUCCACACCGCAAUGAAAGAUGUUUGCACUCAGCUAAUUAAAUCUGAAGUUAUUCUUAAGAGGGGGAGAGAAUUGACAAGUCAUAUGGUGAAAUUGUAAAGAGAAAUAGCAAAACGUUCUUUUAGCAAGUCAAAACAAAUCCUCAGUUUCCCUGGAGUCACGCAGCACAUACUGUACAGCUCCAGAGAAGCAGAGUGUGCAAGUCAUAAAAGAACCCCAGGCACUUCAUUACUGGAAAUGAUGUAAGCUCCUGCCGCUCCUCUGCAGAAACGACACCAAAACAAUGCCGGGGCCGCCGCCGCUGUCGGAGGCAGCUGCUCUCAAUGCCGGAGCUGGCCGAGCCCUCCGAGCCGCUGAGGCUCAACAAUGAAAGGCUUUCUGGGCAACAGCUCUUCGUGUGCCACCAGUACCUGGCAACCUGUGUCAGGGCAACCUGAAGGAUCUGCGGCUCUUCAAGUGGCCACGGUAUUUUGAAUGCUAAGCUGCUCGAAAAGCGAAACGAGUCCUCCCCAAGAAAAUUGUCAAAACGCUGAUGCUCUCCUUGUCCAGGCAGGAGAGGCUGAGCAUUUGGGGAGAGCACAUCCAUGCAGGCAAAGGAGGAAAGUCAUCUCUCCAGCUCUCCUGCGGCACAGACUGCUCGGCAGGAGGACUCAGAGGCAGAACACUACAGGAUCACAGGACGCGUGAAAAAUUUGGAGAAAUUCUCACUUCACACACAGGGACCUUUCAAACUAUGAAAGCUAGUUUAAUUCACACAAGGAAGUGAAUUUAAAGGGCUGUAUAAAUACCCUGAUAAAUAUGUUCUUGGACAUAGAUCAAGGAGUGAAGUUCUGCAUGGAAACUGAUCUGACUGGAGAGUCAAGUCAAAGUAGUCUUGUGAAUCAUUAAAUUGUUUAGAUCCAGAGUUAAUCAGAAAUCCCUUGUUCAGAAUAGUAAAAGAACCCUCAGUUUGACAAAACAGACUAGUUUCCACAGUUUUUUCCAGAGAGCACAUGGUGCUGAAGCAGGUACACAUUCCUCUCCUAGGGCAUAUGUGAGGUUUAAUCCAGAAACUAGUUAAGUCAUGCACAAGAAUCCUCAGACAGCCAAAGCACUUUGAAUCAGGCUCACUGUUUCCAAUGCAUCAGUCCUCCAAGUCAUGCUCUACUUUUCCUUUUGAUCUUUACCCUAUUUCUGUGGACUGCCAUCAGGUUACAGUUUAAUCCCAAAUACCUAGUGAAAAAAACACUCUCUCCAGAUUUAAAAAAAAAAAAAAAAAAAGCACCAAGGUUUUUGUCUUCCUAGCCAGUAUUUCCAAACAACUAGCUCAUGAGACAGGAAUUUGGAACAGGGAGUGUCAACCACCCAGUUCAGAAGGAAGUCUAAUGAUAAAAAAAAUAAUCCCAGAUUGCAUAAUAAUAAAGGCUUGAAUUUGAAUGUUUCAUUGUAAGAGUACUUCAGUUGUUUAAACAUGCUCACUAGGGGAGAUGAGCCCUCAGGAACAAACAUCAGCAUGCAAACACAAAUUUUUAACUGAGUGAAUGGGUGCUCAGGAGAACCCCAAGGCAGAUUAAUAUUUGUGAAGGGAUCAAAUUCAUGCAGUGCUUUGAACAGUUCAUGUGAUGAGACACAUCAGUAAUAUCUUUCUAAUUUGGCAGUCUUAUAUAAACCUGAUUAACAAGAAUACACGAACGUGCAAAUUUAAAAUUAAGUAAUAUAACAGUGCUUCUUCUGAGAAAAAGCAUGAAAUCCACAGUUUGAAAGGAACAACAAAGGACACAACUUUCUCAGCACAAGAAAGAUGUGGACUUGUUGGAGUGGGUCCAGAGGAAGUCCAUGAAGAUGGUCAAUUGGUUGAAACACCUCUCCUGUGAAGACAGGCUCAGAGAGCUGGGGAUGUUUAGCCUGGAGAAGGCUCCACAAAGGCCUCACUGUCGCCUUCCAGUAUCUUAGGAAGGAGGGAGAGGGAUUUUUUUGUAUGAGCAGAUAGUGACAGGACAAGGGUAGUGGUUUUAAACUGAAAGAGGGCAGGGUUAAAUUAGAUGCUAAGCAGAAAUUUACCCAAAGGGUGGUCAGGCACUGGAGGGUGCCCAGAGAACUUAAGGAUGCACCACCCCUGGAAGUGCUCAAGGCCAGGUUGGAUACUGAGUAACCGGGUCCAGUGGGUGGUGCCCCUGCCCAUGGCACAGGGAUUGGAAGGAGAUGAUCUUUAAGAUUGCUUUCAACCCAAACCAUUCUAUGAGUCAACAAUUCUAACUUGCACACAGCUAAGUAUAAGGAUAAAAAGCAGGAGUUCUUCCAUGCUGCAUAGAUGGACCUCAGUCUUGUGAUUUACUGUCUGUUAAAUGGGUGCAUUAACAGUGCUGCCCUUGCACCUCACACAGCUGCCACACACAACGUGGAUAUAGGCACAUCUCAGCAGACCUAAGCUUCAGUGCUGCAGCAGCCUCUGGGUUUAGAGGUGCACAGCUUGAUUUGCCUUGUUAGAAUCAAACCAUAUGCUUACUUCCUUAUUUUUUUGAGUUUUGGGGGGAAUGCUUGAAAGUAGGGUUUCAGAUCCUGUAUUGUUAUUUUUACAUGCAAAAAAAUGGUAUGAAAACAGAGCAUGCAUUAUCUUAAUAAAAAACCAAGCAGAUGGUUUCUGAGGAUGUAGAGAUUUACUAUUACAAAACUGAAGCAAAGUCUUUUAUAAGAAGUUUUAAACUGCCUGAGGGAAUAAUACCACAUGAGUUAUGGAUGUCAUUAUCCCAAAUGAGAACUACUGAAAUCUAGAUACCACACCAUCAGGAAUUCUGCCAAGGCCACACUUUUUCCAGACCUCCCUCACUGCCAAGCUGAUACCUUAUUUGAUGAAAGCCUAAGCUUCACUGGCUUAGGAAACAAGCAAAACAUCUAGCCAAAAUCCUGCAGAAAUUUAUACAAAGUAUUUAAUCUAUUUUUACGGCACACAGUAGCACCACAGACUUACUAUACCAUGUACUUGUAGGUUUAAAGCUGGUGCUGGUGACCUUUUCAUAAGUCUGGACAUUUCUGUUUGUAAGUUGGGUGCCUCCAGCUUCCCAGAUGGAUACAGUGAAGGAUCUCCUGAAGGUGAGACUAAAUAUGGCUCAUCUUGCAUCUCAAAUGAAUUGAGUUGGAAAAUCUGCAUGUGCAUACCCAGUGGAUGACAGGUGAAUAUUUCUCCAGCAGAUUUUUUUUCUCCUUUUAAUUUCUUCUGCUGGAAGCUGCUGAUGCCAGUCAGAAGCUUAAUUGCUAUCCCUGGGAAGCUGAAUUACUGUGCAGAGAACAGGUGAGACAGCCAGAGGUAUCUGCUAAAUGCAGUUUAUCACUAGGAUAUUAUCACAAAUUAUGGAUGUACGGACAAAAUCCAGGGCAUGUAGGCUUCCUAGGAGACUCACUUUACUUCUUGUACCACACAAGCACUGCUGAACUUCUCUCUCUAUAAAAAUGACCAGUACAUUAACAGCACACAACUUAAGCAAUUCAGCUCUUGUGGCCCAAAAGUCAGGAGUCUAUAAACAACUGAAUCUCUGGAAAAAAGAUUUCACAUUAACUGAAAGUUAUUACUUAGAGUGGAUCACUGAUGGCUUAUAAUAUUUAAGUCCCAAAACUUGUAAACUUUACCGGUGUCAAGCAAUUAGCACUUGGCUCUAUUUACAGCUAUAUGCACACAGGCAUCAUAUAUACCUGCUGAAAUUCAGUCAGGCUGAGAGAAACCAGAAGAGAAACAGUUUUGGCCUUGCCCCUAAGCUUUGGCUAAAAACAAAGCAUCUGGAAAAACACCACCAAGAACUUCAAGGAUGUGAGUCUGUUCAGGACAGAAUCUCUCCUAUAAAUUUGAAGAUUCAAAUGCUUUAGUAGAGUCGUGGUAGAAGGUCUCUGAUACAGAAUAUCAACCUCUACAUUCAGUCAAACACAAUGAAGGACAAGAAAAUAGGAAAACAUUACAGCAGAGUGGUCUUUUUUAGUCAGCAUGUGAAUUAUUUACCAUCUUUUCACAUGUACAGCACUUUUUUUUUUUUUUCCUGAGAAAAUUGGGAAGCACUGCUUGAUCUGUUGCUUAAACUAAGUCUGGCAAACCAUUCAAAUGCUUUCUGCGCUUUACCAAAACUUUAUUUCCCCCCAGUACUGGAGCAGUAAUGCAAAACACGAAACCUUAUAAUUUUAGAUAAAAAUAGGGUACUUGAAAGUAUUUUAUGUUUCAGAACUUAUAUGUCAUAAAAUCAUCAUAGUAAGAAAUUAAUAAGCUUUCUGAAUAUCAGUACUUCCAUUUUGUAAAAGGCACUUAUGGAAAGCAAAGAAAACCUUGUGAAAUAUGGUAGUUUACCCCACUUAGAUCCAGAAUGUGUAACAGUAAAUAAAUAUAAUGAUAUUCAGCUUAAUGAAAUCAGAUUUUUUUCCUAUAUAUUUUCCAGGAAGCAACUUCACUGGCACUGGCACUUUGAUAUAACGCUUUGUUAUGUAUUACUGCAGCACUCUCAAGUUCCAGAAUUUGCAUCUUUUCCCCUCGGCAGUAAUGUUAAUAAAACAAAAUGGGCAAUUUUUUUUAAAUGUGGACUUGUGCUAACCAAAUACAGACACAUCUAUGUAAACAGAGCUAAAUAAAAACACAGUACAAGAACCAAACUCAAAGUUUUCUGAAACACAGGGGGUUGAACUGUCUGCAAGUAUCUAGUCACUGUAGUUAGAAGAUGUAUUUAGAAGUUUUCUGAGCAUGCUCUGAAAAACUCAACACUUAUUUCUUUGCCUACUGCAUAAUGUAAAGAAUUUGUCUGCAAGUGCACAUUGCAAGUUCCUGGUGCUAAUAACUCCAAACCUGUCUCUUGAUUACAUUUCUAAAUUGGAUUUGGAUUCUUGAAAACCUCACCCAAACUGUGAAUAUAAAACCUAAUUUCUAGACUGUGUCAGUAGCUAACAUUUAAACAUGCCAAAAGUCAGUGUUCCAUAGUGGAGCUCACAUGUUCCGCUCUGUCUGGGCAUGUCACCUUAGGUGCUGUUUCUUGAAAUUACCAUGUAAUAGUAGCAACUACUGGUGCUGGCCAUGUUAAUACACUCUUGUAUAUAUGCUCUCCCUUCAGUUGCAGAAGGAAUAGUUAAUAUCUGAGCAUCCAGGAGGCUUAAACACUAUCAAACCUGGAGAUACAUCAAGACAGAUGUGUGGUCAGAACCAAGCCCACAUAUAAGUAUCAGUCUCCUGAUCUUUACUGAAGCAAGUACUGUGUGUGAUGUGCCUUCCUUCACAGUUUGUAAAGAACUGGAUUUUGUCCUUCCUGAACCUCUGCUGCCGAUGUCUCAUCGUUUUCAUGGUGGCAGAGUGAUGAUAAAGCAAGUUUACCAGUCAUUUUAGGAGGAGCUUGUCACAAAUUUGACUGAGAAACAACAAUUUGAAAUUGUAUAGUUCUGUCACAGGAGGUUGGACUAAAGAACAUCCCUUCUGAAUCUCUGAAUUCCAGAAACCAACCUGUGAACCUAAAGGAGACUUAAGCAAGCCAAUUAUCUCUGAGUAAUCUAAUCAUGUAGCAUUUAAGUUAUCUAGGUAUUAAUCUUGCAUCACUCUUUUCAACAUUAUGGAAAGGACUUUGUUUUAAGCUCUUCACUGUAGCUAACUUUCAAAAGGCAACACUUGGCUGGGGUAUUGACAUUUCAAAGUGUGAUUUCCAUAUAAGAAAAAAAUGUCUGUAAAAGUUGUUCCCUCUUCCUCAGUCUGGAAAUGAACCUUUGUUUGCUGCUGAUGUUAGCAAGAACACAAGUUUCUACUGGUUUUUACCCCCAGUGAUUUUCUGAAUACUUAAUAAACUUAAGGUAGGGUAACCAGAAUUCUGUAUUAUUGCACACAUUGGUAUCAAGCUGGUCUCACAGAAUUUGAUUAGUGAUGCAUCUCAAUUGGCUUAGAAAUUAAUUAGUUUAAAUUGCUACAAACCCACCCCUGAUGUGGAGAUACUUAGAAGUGACUAUAACUGUUAAUGUCUUUUUUUUAAAACUUAAAUGAAAAUGAAGGAAAUAAGAGUGAUUCUUUAAAAUAAUUUAUUGUGACUAACUGCAUCAGUUCAAUGAUUUUGAAGUAAUUUCCUUUUACGCCAUGGUGUGCAAACAAGCUGUACACUGUUAUCAGUUAUAUCCAUUCCAAUCCAGUAAAAACUGUAAGUAUCAUUUAACCCAGUAAGAAUUUGUGAAAUUUAAUUUUCUGGGUCAUAAUCAGUUUUCAGAGUUUCUGUAUUUGAGUUUAGUUAUGCCUGCAUGGUUUGCUUACUUUUAUAUCUGGGAUUUUUUGUUUAAACUACACUAAGCCAGAGAACACAAUGAACAUGCAUUGUUCUAAUGUAUUGUUAUUAAUGACAUUUUCAAAGCUGGCCUACAAUGGGAAAGUUCUGCACUAUGAGACAGCUGAGUGAAAUAUACUCAAAAAAUGAAGAGGAGCUUCCCGAGCAGUUUUCCUGAAUUUAGUGCUUAGUCCUGUGGGUUAAAGUCGCAGCUGGGAGCGUAUCUGGGAGAAGGGAGGAGCAUGUAAGAACUGGAGUAUUCCCAGUGUGUUUCCACUGGCUGGCCCUGGGAUCUGCAGCACAACAGCUUUUGCACUGUUAUUUCCCCUUGAUGCUCAUCAUCACUACCAAGAGUACAGCCUUGCAAGACACUGGAAGUACUGACUCAGGAGCUUGGACGGUGCCAUAAACUUAAUGCAACCAAGCACUUCUGCUGUCUCAAUAAUGCUUCCAUCUUGCUAUCAGAUUUCUUCUCACAGACCCAGAUCCUGAAGGGUCCUAAUGAGAAAUGACUCUUCAUGUUACAAAUGCCUCCUCUGCUGUCCCUGCAACCUGCCUGGCAGAGCCUUUUGAGCUUUAAGGUAAUAUCUCAAUGAUUAGUUUUGAAUGUAAGUCAUGCUUGCCAUUUCAGAUUUUAACUGUUUAUAGUGCUCUUGGGUUUACACAAAUUGACAGCUCCAAUGUUUGCUGUUGCACUUUUGUCUUAAGAGGUAUUCAGCAUGGUUUUGUGUUUUGGGUGAUGACAACAUAUUCUUUCAGGCCUAUAAAACAGUUUGUUUUGUAUAUCUGUACUUAAUGGAGGACAGUUGCUACAGCCACAAGCUCUUGUGCAGCUUCUACCCAUUCCCCAGCAAGCCAAUGUUCUCCAGGACAAACAAGAGGAUUGAUUAUAAAAGCUUCUGUAGAGAAAUGUUUUUUCCCAUCACUUCAGUGCUACAAUGCUGUUGCAGAAGAAACACUUGCACUACUCAGGAGCUGUGAGCAAGUCACAGAGAAAUGACACAGGUGACACUCAGUGUAAUGGCUGUGGAAAGUUAAGCACCGUUUCAAUAACAGAAACUAAAAGCAGUCAGAGCAGAAGCAUUCAUUACAUGCACAGAAAAAGCAGACAGUGACUCUCCACUUUAGUCCUUUGUCUUGGAAGUUCAGCAGUGAAUUGGAGAAGCUUUCCACCUGGCCCAGCAUUGUGUGAAGUGUAAUGGAAUUGGGUCAGUUUGUUCACUGAAAUGUUCUUCUAAAAGAUACUGGCAUAGAUUCACCUUGGGGCUGACUGUGUGCUUUCUUUCAGCCAGUUACUGCAGAUUGAGCAGUUGCAAGAGCCUCUCUAUGGAGAGUCCAGGGGAUGCACUUUUCUUUGUCAUGGCCAGCUGAAACUUCAUGAGCAGAAGGCGGCCAGACUUUUAGCAGGCAUAAAAUGCAGGUAUAGCUGCUGAAAGGGCAGCCUAUUUCCAGUAUAUAGAUAACCCACUUGAUUCUUUCCUAUCUGUGUAUCCAUGUAUCCAUAAAUUUGCUUCCAUGGAAGACUAGAUCAGCUGGGGAGAUGGUUGCAGCCUGGUCAUGUUCUACAGGCAGGACUCUGAGGAAGCAGGACUCUGAGAAUAUGUGGACUUUACCAGUCAAGACACAGGCACUCUGACUGAGUAUGGGCCUGUGUGGAUGGACCAGGAGAAAAGACUCCUUUAAUUAACAAGUGAAAAAGAUUACUUCUUAUUGCCUGCUCAUUUGGCUCUUGAUACUAAACUGCAAGGCUCUUGUAGUGUGAAGAGACGUAAAAAAAUCGCUGGAGGGUGAGUGGGUAUUACGCAGCAACUGCUUGGUACAAAGGAGCAGUACAUUGGAAUCAGCACUGAAAACUGGUGAAGAGCACCAGAUCCUCAAACAUCAUUAGAAUUAAUGGUUUCACCAUUUACGUUUUGUGGAGUUCUGUCACCUGAACAUUUUUCGUUGGGUAGAAACCUCAGACUAUUUACAAACACUGUGUCCUGAGGCACUUCUUUCUCCAGUAGAACAAUAACUCCCUCUGGUGUUUGCCUGCUAUUGUUACUGCCUCAGCCACAGGCCUGGGAAACCCUGCCAGAGGAAGGAAACCCUGUCAGAUGAUGUAUGAACUAUAAACAUUCUUUCCUUAACCGAUGGCAUUUUACGCUUUGGGCAGAAAGGCCAUUGCGCCCACCGGCUCGGCCCCAGGGGCGCUCAGGUCUGCAGGGAACAUCACUGCAUCGGGAAAAGUGGAAUGCCGAACUCCGCUGCUGCCGAGGGCUCAUGCUGCCAAAGACUCAUUUACAUGCUCCCUGAAUUUAUUUAAUUACAUGAACAGUAGGCUUAUUGCAAUGUGUCUGGAUGCUUUAUUUGAUGAAUGCUGGAACUUACCGAUCCAGUCCCGAGAGGGUUGGGAUACACAUAGGGCUAUGUCAAAUGGCUGGAUGAUAGUUCAGAGUUAAUGAAUUGCUGUGUUCAGCUCUUGGGACAGACAAUGUAGAACUGUCAUUCAGCUGCAAACAUAUUUACAGGAAUGCUGUCACAGCUUUGAGGGUCAAAUCUGACCUACAAGAAAGUUACAAGCUACAUCUGCUGGCAAGGAAGCAAAAUGAGAUGCAAGAGAAUUAAGCUCCUGCCCUUUGGGCUAGACCGUAUUAAUCUACUGGCGUAAUAAUGCUGAUUGCAAAUUUUCUUAAUCUCAAAUUUAUGAGGAAAUCUAAACUUUUAGUCUUAAAUACAUAUUGCACAAUAAUUUUUAAGUACACACUCAAAAAUUUUUUUUUUCAGAUUUCAGCUGCGAUCAGAUGAUGAAAACAAAUCUCAGGACAAGAUGAAAGACAUUAAAUGUUUGAGUUAUGCAUUUUGCCAAAGAGAAGAGGCUAUUUUGAUGGGCUGUUUAAUAUAAAUUUCUUCCUGUGAUCAUUGAACUGGAUGCUCACUCCAAACAGCCCAGAGGCUUUUUAUAUGUGACCUAAAUGUCUGGAUUUUUUCUCUUUUCUUCUGUUCUAUCACAGAACAGAAAUCUGUAAGCUGAUUAUUGUUGCUUAAUUCACUUCUGAAUGCAAACAUCUUUGCAUAUUUCAGACACUGCUAUAUAGAGCUGAAAUCAGAAAAGCUAAAAGAGCUUGAGAGCUCAGUCUAAAUCCCAACUGUCUGGCUCCCUGGCCAAUGCCUUGCAUUAUACAAAGUGUGUAGCCGUCCUACACCUUUGAUGUAAAACAACUCUCUUUUAAUGUGCUUUAAUCUCUUAUUCCCUUUGUCUAUCACAUAAUAAUCCUCUUGCUCAUGGUAAUCCUCAAAAUCACAUAUGCUCUUUAAAGCUUUUCUUUUGGAAAGUAUUCACACCCAUUUUUCUGGGCACUGGCAACUAAAUAUUACAGAAAACCUGAUUCUUCUGACUUUGACCAAGACAAUCUGAAUUUUUUGUAUUCCACAUUUACUGCUUGGCUGGAACUGGGUCAACAACAUGAGUAAACAGUUUCUAGUUGUCCAAUAGAA